UACGUAGGGAGCAAGCGUUGUCCGGAAUCAUUGGGCGUAAAGCGCGCGUAGGUGGCCCCAUAAGUCCGCUGUGAAAGUCAAAGGCUCAACCUUUGAAAGCCGGUGGAUACUGUGGGACUAGAGUACGGAAGAGGCGAGUGGAAUUCCUGGUGUAGCGGUGGAAUGCGCAGAUAUCAGGAGGAACACCUAUAGCGAAGGCAGCUCGCUGGGACGACACUGACGCUGAGACGCGAAAGCGUGGGGAGCGAACAGG
rnacentral:rRNA from 1 species